AUUGAACGCUGGCGGCAUGCCUUACACAUGCAAGUCGAACGGCAGCACGGGUGCUUGCACCUGGUGGCGAGUGGCGAACGGGUGAGUAAUACAUCGGAACAUGUCCUGUAGUGGGGGAUAGCCCGGCGAAAGCCGGAUUAAUACCGCAUACGAUCUACGGAUGAAAGCGGGGGACCUCCGGGCCUCGCGCUAUAGGGUUGGCCGAUGGCUGAUUAGCUAGUUGGUGGGGUAAAGGCCUACCAAGGCGACGAUCAGUAGCUGGUCUGAGAGGACGACCAGCCACACUGGGACUGAGACACGGCCCAGACUCCUACGGGAGGCAGCAGUGGGGAAUUUUGGACAAUGGGCGAAAGCCUGAUCCAGCAAUGCCGCGUGUGUGAAGAAGGCCUUCGGGUUGUAAAGCACUUUUGUCCGGAAAGAAAUCCUUGGCCCUAAUACGGUCGGGGGAUGACGGUACCGGAAGAAUAAGCACCGGCUAACUACGUG
rnacentral:rRNA from 1 species